UACGUAGGUGGCAAGCGUUGUCCGGAAUUACUGGGUGUAAAGGGAGCGCAGGCGGGUGAGCAAGUCAGCGGUGAAAUGUAUGGGCUUAACCCAUGAAUUGCCGUUGAAACUGUGCAUCUUGAGUGGAGUAGAGGCAAGCGGAAUUCCGAGUGUAGCGGUGAAAUGCGUAGAUAUUCGGAGGAACACCAGUGGCGAAGGCGGCUUGCUGGGCUCUAACUGACGCUGAGGCUCGAAAGUGUGGGGAGCAAAC
rnacentral:rRNA from 1 species